rnacentral:rRNA from 1 species
UACGAAGGGGGCUAGCGUUGCUCGGAAUCACUGGGCGUAAAGGGCGCGUAGGCGGCCACCGCAAGUCAAUUGUGAAAUCUCCGGGCUUAACCCGGAGCGGUCAAGUGAUACUGUCGUGCUAGAGUGCGGAAGGGGCUACUGGAAUUCUCGGUGUAGCGGUGAAAUGCGUAGAUAUCAAGAGGAACACCGGUGGCGAAGGCGGAUCUCUGGGCCUUACCUGACGCUCAGGUGCGAAAGCUAGGGGAGCGAACAGG